ensembl:snoRNA SNORA70 Small nucleolar RNA SNORA70
UUGCAACCAGUUAAGCCGACUGUGCUCUUUUCCCCAUGGGGGCCCAGUGCGCAGUGGCUGCAAACAGCAGCCUCCUUGGUAGUGUAUGCAGCCUGUUGCCUGUAUGGGUUGCCCUAAGGGACCUUGGAGACAGCA